AACUUUUGUAAGGAAGGAGACGAUUGGUUCUAAGAGAUUCGCGUUUUCUUACCCAUCCCUAGCACCUUGGACACACGUGGAGGGGAAUAAAAGUAAUGGCGACUUUUGCUUCUCAUAAUUUCACAAUUCUUAUGAGAAAACGGAAGCUAGGAUCAAUGUGAAACAGACAUUAAACAUUUAGUACUUUUGCUUCAUGACUUGCUACAUAAUUUUCGCUUGUUUUGUGGCCGAAUUGGAUGCGAGUCAAAACGACUUGGUCUGAAAGCGACAUUUUAUCUUUAGCUCUGGAGUCCCGCAGUAGAAUGUGAACUCUACGUAUGAUAAAUGUGGAUUAGUUUGUCCAUGAAAAUAAAAAAUGGGCAGUGAACUGGGCAGUGAACGGGGCAUCGCCCUGGUUUAGAAAAACUAGAACAAAUCGGAUUCAGAUUAGUCUGCGACAGACCCGCUGCAUGAAACAAAACACGAUUGGAUACGAGUUACGUACCUCUAGGGGUGUAGCAUCUUAUCAAUCCACCUUUGCCUACCGUCCACUCUUUACAUUGAUCCAAAGUUCAGCAUUGGCGCCGACGCCAUAUAACCAGACUCAGAGCUGACAUCACACUAAGAUUGCCUGUAACUAAACCCUGUACUAAAGAGAGGAAUAUAUUUCUGUCCAUCAGCGAAAGUCAGCAGUUUACACGAGCUCACAACUAGAGGCAUUCGCUGAAACCGUUGGGAUUGAGUUGCUCGAAUCGUGUGGAAUUCGAACACGUAGCCCCGUGGACGACGGACAGCAAAUUGCGGUUGUCACGAAUCAACCAAGCCAAAGUGCAAUCGCAUUCAAAAGGAUCUAUACCGAAAAUUAUUUGAAACUAUUUCAAUAACGACACACAGAAAAAAACAAGUUUAAAAGAUAAUAUACGUACUUGAAUCGAUUGAAAGACUGCCAUUCAGCGUUAUCAUGCCUUCGAGCAUGGGCUGAAAGACGAGCGAUUCAAAUUGCGUCAGAUUGUUUCUCGUCAGAUCAGCCAGGACAACAUUUGCUAAAAGAAGAUAAUUCAAGUUUAAACAAGUCAAUCACAUAAUCAGUAUGGCGUUUUUGGGCACCUUUCAAGGCUCCAGGCUCGAUCGUACUUAGAGAAACAUUAGUCAAUGCCAAUCUUUGUAUCCUGGGCGAUGGCAAUGCAAGUGAAGAUGAUGAAAUAAAUGGCAAUCGAUUUCCAGAUAAA